rnacentral:rRNA from 1 species
UACAGAGGUCCCAAGCGUUGUUCGGAUUCACUGGGCGUAAAGGGUGCGUAGGCGGUCGGGUAAGUCUGAUGUGAAAUCUCACAGCUUAACUGUGAAACUGCAUUGGAUACUAUCCGGCUCGAGGAAUGGAGGGGAGACUGGAAUACUUGGUGUAGCAGUGAAAUGCGUAGAUAUCAAGUGGAACACCAGUGGCGAAGGCGAGGCUCUGGACAUUACCUGACGCUGAGGCACGAAAGCCAGGGGAGCAAACGGG